rnacentral:rRNA from 1 species
GUUGUAUGGUUAAGUGACUAAGCGUACACGGUGGAUGCCUUGGCAGUUGGAGGCGAUGAAGGACGUACUAACUUGCGAUAAGCCUAGUUGAGCCAGUAAGAGGCGCUUGAGACUAGGAUUUCCGAAUGGGGAAACCCGGCCCUUUGGGUCAUCAUGCAGUGAAUACAUAGCUGUAUGAAGCGAACGCGGAGAACUGAAACAUCUAAGUACCCGUAGGAAAAGAAAUCAACCGAGAUUCCGAAAGUAGCGGCGAGCGAAAUCGGAUUAGCCCUUAAGCUUUAAUGUAGUUAGUGGAACAUUCUGGAAAGUAUGACGAUACAGGGUGACAGUCCCGUACACGACAACUUAUUUAAAGUGAAAUCGAGUAGGUCGGAGCACGUGAAACUUUGACUGAAUAUGGGGGGACCAUCCUCCAAGGCUAAAUACUCCCAACUGACGAUAGUGAACCAGUACCGUGAGGGAAAGGCGAAAAGAACCCCUGUGAGGGGAGUGAAAUAGAACCUGAAACCGUGUACGUACAAGCAGUAGGAGCCCCUCGAGGGUGACUGCGUACCUUUUGUAUAAUGGGUCAGCGACUUAUAUUCUGUAGCAAGGUUAACCAUUAGGGAGCCGUAGCGAAAGCGAGUCUUAACUGGGCGCUUAAGUUGCAGGGUAUAGACCCGAAACCCGGUGAUCUAGCCAUGGGCAGGUUGAAGGUCAGGUAACACUGACUGGAGGACCGAACCCACUAACGUUGAAAAGUUAGGGGAUGACCUGUGGCUAGGAGUGAAAGGCUAAUCAAACCGGGAGAUA